rnacentral:rRNA from 1 species
ACUCAAAUGAAUUGACGGGGACCCGCACAAGCGGUGGAUGAUGUGGAUUAAUUCGAUGCAACGCGAAAAACCUUACCUACCCUUGACAUGCCAGGGAUUCUGCCGAGAGGUGGAAGUGCCCGCAAGGGAGCCUGGACACAGGUGCUGCAUGGCUGUCGUCAGCUCGUGUCGUGAGAUGUUGGGUUAAGUCCCGCAACGAGCGCAACCCUUGUCAUUAAUUGCCAUCAUUAAGUUGGGCACUUUAAUGAGACUGCCGGUGACAAACCGGAGGAAGGUGGGGACGACGUCAAGUCCUCAUGGCCCUUAUGGGUAGGGCUUCACACGUCAUACAAUGGUCGGUCCAAAGGGUAGCCAACCCGCGAGGGGGAGCCAAUCCCAGAAAGCCGAUCGUAGUCCGGAUUGCAGUCUGCAACUCGACUGCAUGAAGUCGGAAUCGCUAGUAAUCGCGGAUCAGCAUGUCGCGGUGAAUACGUUCCCGGGUCUUGCACACACCGCCCGU